UAAACGCUUGAUUAAAGAGAACCCAGAUAAACAUAAAUCGUGAAAUAUUUGGGUCUUGGGGCAAAAUGAUUAGUGAAACAAGACAUGGAAUUUUAAUCUAAAGGGCUGCAACGUUGUUUCCUGGGAUUUCAAAGUUAACUUGACACCGAGUACUGCAGGAAUGCUGCCGACGCCCAUCUAUGGAUUUCCUUCCAUCCCCAUCUGGCAAUCAUGUCCGUGGGAGAAUCGUCUUUGGGUCAGGACGGGUCACCGGUCCCUCAGAGGACGGCCAGGUCGUGGCAGCUCUUGGAUCGCACCCUGACGGCCACACGCUGGUUGUUGCGCGCCACUAAGCGGUCCAGGAAGCGUCGCGCCUUCUGAGUGAUACUCUCCUUGCGCCUGCAGGACGAGGCGCGUCGGCACUGGGCCGCGUCGGCGUUGGAUGCGCCCGCCCGGCGCAGUCGGAUUUGCCGCACCACACCCUCAAAGAGCUCGCUCACGUUGUGUUGCAGCGAGGCUGACGUCUCUAUGAACUUGCAAUCAAAAACCACCGCACACGCUCGACCUUCUGGAAAAGAUAAUGACUCCAUAUGAGGACCCGGGACUUUUUCUAAAAUCAUUUUAGACAAUUCCGUGUUCAGUGACUGAAACCAUGAUCCCAAAUCUACUAUUGUCAAAGAGGUUCACCUUGCAGCGCCACCUCUCUGGAGCGCACCAGGUCGCUCUUGUUGCCAACGAGGAUGAUGGGCACAUCGUCGGCCUGUCGUCGCCGCCGUAGCGUGAUGCGGAGCUCGCCCGCCGCGUCGAAGCUGCUCCGGUCGCUGACCGAGUACACGAUGACGUACGCGCUGCCACCUGUCAGGCAGGCCUCACUGCUUGCACGCCCGUCUUCGUCCUCACAUGGAAUGUUGUUCGUCUUUGUCGGUGAUUCCGGCAAAGAUCCCCGCCAGGCUGCUCUUGCCCACGCCGUGGUCGCCGAGCAACAGCACCCUGUGAACGCAGUCCGAGUCGUCGUCCGAGUCGGCGCUCCACUGCGCCCGGCAACGUGUGUCCCCUGGCUGGAAGGAUGCCGACUGUCCCAGGGGGGGGUGCCUGCGCUGCGGGCCGCCGCCGGCGUGCGGGUCCCGGGUGCAGGGCGAGCAAUUCCGGGUGGGGCGGACGGGAGUGCUGCCCCGCCGUGGCUGGACUUCUGCCUCCUUUCUCUGAAUGUUGAUGCUCAUGUUGCUACGGUGACAGCAUCAGGACCACUUGGGCCCGAGUGAAUUGAUGUCAUUUGCACGUCCCGAAUUUUAUUUACAAAUCACAUACUUGAGGCUCGUCUAUGUUUCUUGGAUGAUUAUCGGAAGAGAGAAUUAAUUUUGGGUGUUUGCUAGUAGACCAUGCUCUUUUAUAAUUCCCGAAACUCGCCCAUUACAGCUGAAAACUCUAAAUUUUCUUUAUUACAAAAACAAAACAGAUGCAAAAAGGGUCCAAAACAAAGCAAAGAGAAAGUAAUUAGAAUGUUCCGUAACAUUGAGCAAAACACAUACACACAUUAGGUUAGCUGAAAGACAAAUCAGUCUUAGAUGUUUGCAAAGACAUGGAAGUGAUGCUCCCCGAACAGAUGCGAGAAAACCAACAAAAAACAAACGGCCCGGUUUGUUGAUGUUUCUUGGAUGUUCGCGAGAUAUGCACACUUUAAGCUUGCUUACAAAUUCCACACAGGGAGGGCCGGCCAGAGGUGGAAUCAAACCCGCACCCUCCUAACUGUGAGGCGGACGUGCUACCCAGUGCUCCACCGAGCCGCCCGCGGUGCAACAAUGAAUCGAUUAAUCGACAAGCAAACGAUUAGCAAAUUUAACAAUUUUGAUAAUCACUUAUGUUGUCUGGUGACAACCCAAAAUCAUCCUCAGAAAGUUCUUGUAACUUGGCUCGCUAAAGAUUCAUUUGGUAUCCAAAUGCAAAUAUUUGGUCGCUUGUCGUGAGCGGCAAGCAAAGGCGAUCGGUCAGUGGGCGAAAGUCGGCUCACCAAGACCAUUAUCCUUCCUGACCAGUUGACUUUGAGGCAUUGGUCUUGAGAUCCAUUCUUUUUAAUUUAGUGUAAAUACUGUAAUAUUGACGGUCGCAUUUGAUUGGUCAAAGUCAUCCAAUUCACUGCGUGGGCAAUUAUCGCUAUGACGAUAUAUGGUCGAUAUAUUGUCCAAGUACACAAAAACACACAAAUGCAUAGCAGCAAGUUUCGACAAUGUGAUUAAGAAAUGAUUAAAUAUGGCAAGAAGUCAACUUUGAGCGAUGAGGAACGUACCAGACAAUCCACGAACAAGAAUCGGUGUGGUGGCCAAGCGGGUGAGUGUGUCUUUGUAACGCAAUCCUUCGCCACACUGACCUCGCAAAGUUCCACCACAGCUUUAAAAAUUCAGCAGCGGAAUCACACACAACCCUCUCGCACAGCGUGUGUGUGUGUGUGACAGCAGAGGAGAAGCAGAUAUGCGAGGGCGGAGUGAGUGCGUGUGCGUAUGUGGGUGUUCAACAGAGUUGGCCUUAGGAAAAAUGUCGGUCA